UGGGGCGUGUGAGUGGUGUUUGGAUCGUCCCUGCCGGCUGGCUCCGUGCCCGUCCACCGAACGGUCUGCAGGCGAUCCGCGUCGGUCGCGCUGGGUGGUAUGGUUCCCCAGAGGCCGGUUCUUGUGCUGCCUACCCCCUUCAGGGGAAGAGUUCCAAACUCGAUGUAAGCCUCCAUCCGGCGCCCUCCAGAGGGCGCGGGAGGACAACGGAGCACCCCCCGCGUUCCACCGAGCCUCCUCGGUCGCGUGGCCCGUGGGGACGUGCGAUGCUCUCGGACCCAGCGAACGCCGUGGGCGAGGACUCACGUCCCGGUCCCAAGUGAAGCAACGGUAUAACGCACGACGGCCGCUCCCGCCCCCCGACCGCCCCGGCGGCGCGGGGGCGAUGGCGCGGCGUCGCUGAGGAAUGCUACCUGGUUGAUCCUGCCAGUAGUCAUAUGCUUGUCUCAAAGAUUAAGCCAUGCUGGUGUAAGUAA
rnacentral:misc_RNA from 1 species